rnacentral:lncRNA from 1 species
UUUUAAUGUCCAAAUUGGAUCUGAAACUUUUUCUUGUUUCUUAAAAGAGAGAGAGAGAGAGAGAGAAGGGACGAGUUGUCUAAUAUUGUUCCUCCUCUAUUAGUUGAUACUUCAAAGAGGCUUUACCUGGAAUGAAAGAACAAAAAUGGAUUCAUGAAAAUUAUUGAAUCGCAUCCCAAUGGUAUGUUCCGGGUUCGAUUCCUCUGAUAUGAUUAGAGAUACAAAUUCUUGUAGCGCCCCAAAAAUUGAUCUUGGUUAGAAUCAUUAGUAGAAAUAAGAAAAUGAUUCUGUUGAUACAUUCGAAUAAUUAACUGUUUUGCAAUUAGUAAAUUGGAUUUAUUGUCACAAACUAGAUUUUCCAACAAAAUCGAUCUAUUGAGACCCUAAUCAUAAGCAAGUCCAUAAAUAUACUCUUGAAAGAUAAGUGGAUAUAAGGGGUAUUUCUUUCUUGUAUUUCAAAUACUUCGUACAGUGCCCAAUAAAUCAUUGGGUGUUCUUUUAAUGGUUUCAGUAUCUGCAAGAUUAUCAACCGUACCCUUUUUAGAGAAUGUUAAUAAAUUCCAAAAUCCUUUUCGUCGUCCAGUACUGACAACCAUCUUUUUGAUUGAUACUGCAGUCGCUUUUUGGUUGGGUAUUGGUGCAACAUUACCUAUUAAUAAAUUCCUAACUUUAGAUCUUUUUUAAUUUAAUUCAAUUGUGAAAUACACGACAUGUGUAUCUAGAGAAUAGUCGCUUGAAAGCGAAUUCUUCCUAGAUACAUCUAAUCAAUUUUGAAUUCCUUUCAAAUAUAUGAAUUGUGCUAAAGAUUCAAAACCUAUUUUCAUCUUAAAGGGAAAAAAAAAAAAGACGAAAAAAAUCCAGCAAAUUUAAAAAUUCUUUUUUGGUAAAUCAAUUGCGAAAUAUUUUUGUAACGACCAAUAUCUAUUUUAUAUCUUAUAGACGCAAAUGUUCAAUUCUCAUGAGAUCUUGCAGACUGUUAUUCAAAAGGUCCAAUAAUGUGUAUAUAUAUAUGUGU